UGGGGCGUGGCCAAGUGGCAAGGCACGGGACUUUGGAUCCUGGAUCGUAGGUUCGAAUCCUACCGCCCCAGCCU
rnacentral:tRNA from 1 species